UUGCCCCCACGGCCAUGCUUGGCCAUCUCUCUGGGGAGGUCCCUGUGCCUGGCUGUGUUUGUCAUAGCCCCUCUAUGCAAGGGACUCCUGGCCCAGGGUCUGGCAGCUGAGGAGAAAUGGCUGGGUCUUGGAAGAGCAGCCCCGUGGCCUCACAGUGCACUGCACCUCACCUAACCACUUGCCGCACCAGGUUUUAGACUUACCACCCUUACUGAAUUUCUUCAGCAAGCAGUAGGUUACAUUCAACAGGAAACAUUAAUUUUCUGGGAUUCUUCACUGUCAGCCACCUCCUGCCAUGGAUUUUUACAUUUAGUUGGAGGACAUGUUUCAUAUCUGCCAUGUGUGAUGAACUCUGGCUUUGUGAAAACCUGUGGUUCUCUAUCUCGAAGUUUUCUUCAGCUGUCAGAAGGAUUUUGUCAUCCAGUAAAGUAAUCUCCGUCUAUUACUGAAACUCAGAUUGAAUCAAGUCAGUGGAAGUGGUUGGAUUUUCUUCAGGUUUUUCUAUAAUUAGUCCUGCAAGAAAAUUAUUCAUCCUUACAGGUAAAGUGCACAAAAUGCCUAUGUUUCAUUGUUCAGUUCUUUCUACCAUGAAUAUUAUGGAAAGAAAAAAACCCCAUCACAUUAGAUGCAGAUGACCCAUGUAUUUUCUUUUUUAUUUUCACUUCAGAAAUGUAUCUAUGAAUGUAUUACUGAGAUAUCUUUGCAUAUUCAUUGUUUCUAAAGAUUUCACAGCCGAACACUUGUAGAUUCAGAAGACUUAAGGUUAUCUAUUUUAAAUUUUUAUAGCUAUUACAAUAGGUGUUGCAGGAAAACCUGGAAGUCUUAAUAAUCAGAUAAGAUAAAAGCAAGAUGGCUGCAUUUCCCUCAAAUUUAGAUGCUGAAAUCCAUAGCUAAAAUAGUGACUUUAGGCUCCACUUAUUGUCAAUGGAGACUAAUAGGCUUCUUCAGGAUGUGAUCUAUUUCUUAUUUAAAGGUUUACAAUUAUAUGAACAGCCUUUGAAAAUUAUGUAUUUCUCUCCACUGACUAUGAAGCAGUACUGGGAUAACUAGGUUAGAUAUAGAUGUUGACAUGGCAGAUAUCCACAUUUAAUCAGUUGAACAUCAGUUACAAAAAAAGAAAAUUCUUGCCCCAGUGAAUUUGCUAUCUAAAUAAUAAAGGGGGAAAUUGAAAUUAAAAGUCAUUAAAUAGCUUGAAAAAAUCAGAACCUAAAACAUCUCCUGAGUCCAAUGAAAAGGUUUUAAGCAGAAGGCUGUAUCUGCUUCAAUUUUCAGUAUUCAGUUGUUCUUUCAAAGCUUCUUUGGCACCCUGAAAAAGUUCUCAUACACUGCUAUGUUGAUGGCAGUUUUUCUAUGUUUAUUUUGUAACUUAUUCUAUUGUACUAAAAAUGCUGUUUGAUUCACUUCUACAUGGAGACCUCAUAAAAAAUUGAAAGGCUUCAAUAAUUUUAAAUCAUUCUACACUGCAUAUAGAGAUUUAAAUUUCAGUGCUAUUUUUUUAUUAGCACUUUAAUUUGGAAGGUACUAGGCUUCUACAAGAUUUAAAAUUAUUGGAGCAUUUCAAAUUUUUAUAAGCUUUCCAGUAAAGAUGUGACUAUGGUUCUAGGCAUAUAAAGUGUAGGACAAUUUAAAUUUAAUCUAAAUUAUUUAAAUGCUUCAGACUUCAGGGAGAUUUUCAAUCUCUCAGACUGGGAUCCAUGUUCAGAGACUAGAGCACUCUUAUAAUGCAAAGUGCUUUCAUCAUUUUAAAGACCUGUGGGCAGCAUUCUGAAAAAGCCUUUUUUAUUUUCAGUUUGUUAAUUUAAAUUAUUUGUUUUCAUCUGCAAUGUAUGGCAAGGAAAAAAGGUGUAAUAAGAUCAUAAAGGGAAGUCUGUUUCCUCUAGAAGAUGUUGGAUAAAAAUGAGCUUUUCUUCUGAGAUACAUUGUGAGGGGAGAAAAGGAUUUACUAACACCCAAAAGACAUCAGUGUUUCUGAUAUGCCUUAUCAGGUGCCUAUUCUCUGAGAGAAGCUAGUACUGUGAUUAUCUGGCAAGUUUGUGGAUUACAGAAAAUCCCUUGGAGGAAGUUGUAUGCAUGACUGUAGCCUCAGGAGAAAGGAAGGGCAUAAGAAAAAACCUCUCCUCUGACCAGCAUCUACUUUACAGAAGGACAAGCCUGAGGACAGUCAUUUUUUUUGGAACUGAAUCCUAGAUGAAAGAGCAAUCCCAAAAUAAGACACACUCUAUCUAGUCAACUUUUCAGCUGAACUGAAUAAAAAAAGGUCUUUGGAUCAGAACUAAAAUAAAGACAGUCAGACACACUCAUUUCCCCCUCCACACACCCCUUAUAGUUUUUUCUUUGAACAGAAUCACCCCAUUAAGAUUUGAAAAGCAGUACAUGUUAGGAAGUCUUCAUGCAUGUUAUGCUGUUAGUCUAAUAUCAAAAAUUAUUUCAAAACUUAUGGUCCUAAGUAGAAGUAUUGCCCACUUCUGUAGGGUGCCUAAUCCUUGCAUUGCAAUGUAUGUUAUUAUUGUUGUUGUUGCCAUUAUUCAUAUUGAAAUGAAUAUUAUUAAUAAUAAUAUCAAUAUUGGUAUUAUUUUGGCCUGGAAAACCCAAUUAUUUAAAUGAGUUUACAUUCUGUUAUUCUAAGUUUACUGUUUCUCUUUGCUGCCCUCUGGACAGUUAGACACAAAGUGUUAGAAGCAUUUGGAUGAACUUUGGGUAUGCUAUUCUAAUGAAAUGUUUGGCAUUAGCACCUAUGGGUUCUGCUAUACAAAGGACACAAAUAUGUGGAAAGGACACAGAAUACGAAGAGGAGCUAAGCAGAAAAAGGAGCAGUGGAAAACUGGAAACUUCAUCAAUCCAUGCAGAUCACCUAGAGAAGUUUCUCACUGACUAGUUGCAGUGCCUUAGUGUGAAAAGUCCUGGAAAUCUUCUCUCAUACUCAUUGUCCUGGGGACCUGCCCAGAAAUUUGCCUGGCUCCUCAAUUGUUGUGGCUUUGAGAUUAAUUUUCUUUCUUAAAAUUCAGUGCUCAGGUACCAUAGUGCUAAGUAAACUCAUUAAUUAUUUAUCUACAUUCUACUAGUUCAUUGUAGCUGUUCCACAUUUCACUCUUUUUAUCAAAUUUUCAAUCAAUUCCUCUCUAUUUGCAAGUAGGUCAAGGAUGGCUUCUCCUGUGGUUAAUACAUGGUUGGCUGUCUUCAUUUACUAGGAGAUAAUUCCUCUGUAAAUGGUUUUUUGUGAUUCUGAGUACCUUGAGAUUUUGUCCAGGAAAUUUUCAUUCCUGCAAGUCUCUAGUCACAUACCAUAUGUCAUUUCUUCUUUGUUUUUAAUUCCUUGCAACUUUACCUAAAAACUGAAUCAUUGCAUUUGUUAACAAGGGUUUGUGGAGUUCUCACAUAUGUAGGCCUGCAGUUUUCAAAUGGCUUAAAGGAAUGAUACACUUACCUUUGCUUGGGUUUGUUUUGAGUUGUUUUUUGGUUUAUUUUUCUUUUAUAAUGGAGUAAAUUAUAUCUACCCAAUGAUGAGACGCUAUUUAAAAUCCUAAUAAGAAUUCUGAUUCCAACUAACUUUUUGUUUAUACACCCAAUUGCCUCUAUAUAUUGGAAUUCUAGUUGCAAGAAUAAUUUUUCAUAGGCACACUUUCAAUGGAGCACAUUGUGUUAUUGUAAUACCAUCAUUUAAUAGUAUUUUUGUGUCUUUCUGUUAUCUUCUCUGUUCUGUUUUUGCAAUUAUCAAAGGAUGUAUUUUGUUAUUUAUCUUUUUUUUUCAUCCAGAUUUUUUCACCAUGUACUCUGUAUAAGAUUCAAUGUUUUAUUAGUAACAGUUUGGAUUUCCAGUAUGUACCAGAUGGAGUUAAAAGGAAGCUAUUUUUCCCUCUUCAAACUGCUAACAGUUGUUUAACAAUUUUCAGAAGAAAUGUACCAAUUCUGAACUUAGGUUAAGUAGUCAUAUGUCAAAAUAUGGUAAGUCUCAGCUCAGACUACUGCAACAUGCAAGACUUGCAGCUGUUAUCAUUAAUAAUACAGAACAUGGAGACAAUUGUAAUAUCUGUUGAAAUCCUCAGUAUCAUAGAAAUUAUGAUCAGCAAAUCUUUGACAUGAUUAUUUCAUCAGUCUAUAGUUUGUGAAUACUAAUGAGAUAUACUUUUGACACAGGCAUCAUGUCUGAACUAAAAAGCCAUUACUGAAAUUAUAAUAUAAAUUAAAUGUGGAAUGAAAGGCUAAUAAUGAGUGUACCAGAUGUUAUACUCUGAAUGCUUAGAAUAUUUAUGGACUGUUCCAGUCAGAUGGUGGAUGCUCUGGACACAUGGAGCAUUUGCGAAAUACAACAUCAGAAUAUACUGAAUAAUACAGUACGAUACAGAUGUUUUCUAAGGGAUGGUAGUUGCUGCAUUCCUGACUAAGCACUGGAAAGAAAAUUGGAAUUUCAGUCAUGUGGAAAAGGGAUGUUGGUGCAUAUUCUACUACUGGUUAAAUAGCAUUCAUCUUUUCACUGAUGACUGGAAAAUAGUACUACUUUUAUCUCAUUCAAAACCAGAGAUACAGAGGAAGAAAACAAUCAAAAGACACAGCCAAGCAUUUUUGAGCACCUAUUAACUGAAUUAUGGAAUAAAUCUGUCAAUAUUCUGUGUGUUAAAUCAUAUUCUUAAAUAUAUGCAAAACUUAUUUAAUGCUUUAGUGUAUGCUUCUUUUUGCUUUUGGUUUGCCCCAGAUAAUGUCUGUGCAAUUUGGGAAGUUGUCUUGUCACUGAUUAACUCUGAGAAGCAAACAAUAUCUGUGUGUUAUAAAAAAUAGUAGGCAGUAGGAAGUGAGAAGUGUAGCUGUAAGUGGCCUAAAUUUUUGUGUCUAGCUGAAAAGCACACAUUCCAUCAAGAAAAAUCAUGACCAAAGACUGAGAUCCAACUGUAAGUACUCCAAUGAGAUCAUGAAAAAAUGAGAGGGACAAGUGACUUUGACAUUUAUCAGUACUUCAUUAUUUUUCCUCAAAUCCUGGAACUCAUUAAUCUAAACUAAAGACUGUUGGCUAUUUUUUAGUGUUGCACUGCUCCUUGCUGAACUUCAUGAACUUCCUAUCAGCCUAUUUCUUCAGCCUGUUGAGAUCCCUCUGGAUGGUUACACAACCAUUAGCGGUUUGGUGUUGUUAGCAAACUUGUUAAGGGUGAGCUCUGCCUGAUCAUCCAGAUCAUUGAGGAUGUUAAGCAGGACUGCACCAAGUACUGACUGCUGGAGUACACUGCUAGUCACUGGUCUCCAACUUGCCUCUGUGCCUCUGGAUCAUGACCCUCUGGGUCUGUCCAUUCUUCCAGUUUUCAAAGCACCUCACUAUCUACUUAUACUGCCAUACAUCAUACUCUAUAGAUAUCUUAAAGGAGACAGUGUGAAAGAUACUGCUGAAAUUGGAGUAGAUAAUAUCUACUGCUCUACCCUCAUCUGCCAGGACAGUAAUUUCACUAUAGAAGAUGCAGCUUUUUGAAGUGCCGUGUGUUUGCUGGUAAAAUACAAAAGACAAAUUCUAGUCUAUUAAAAAAUUUUCAGGGAAAAAAGCAUGGGAAAUUAUUUUAAUUAAGAAGAAUGUCCAAAUGAUAUUGUGUCUGUUGUAAAAGUUAGAUAGAACGGGUUUGGGGUCAGAGAUUAAAGUUUUUCUGGAUCCUGUAAUGAAUUUGGUGUGGGAUGAGGGAUGUCUGGAUGAAAUAAUAUCCUCCACCAUCAGGGACUUAUAGAGUGCUACUAGAAUGUGAAAAGUAACUGAGGUUUCCCUUAGAAUUAUGUUCCAGAGGGAAUUUCUAACAAUUUCUAAUUCUCUGAUAAAGACAAACAAACACCACUGUAUCUAAAAAAAAAAGGCUGUCUGUCAUACAAUAAUAUUUGGAGUAAAUGCUUAAACUCCAAGAGUUCCGAUGGGGUGUAUCACAGUCAUUAAAUGAACACAGAGGGAAACAAAUCUCAGAGCUGGUCAUUAGCUAAAAGUUCUGAGAAGUAGACUGCAGUUACAAAAAGUCAUUGAGGAAACUAAGUCUCAUUCGACAGUGAAAAAAAUAACCCAAAAUCCUGAACGCCUUUGUGAAUCUUGGCCUGAGGCAAAAUUGGUUUAAACUAUCUCUUUUAUUCAGGCUGUGAAAGAUUUUGAAAUGGACUUAUAUUACUCUGGAGACAGAUGCCAACCAUCCAUUUAUAAGGUGUCCUAAUAUGAUACUUUUUCAACUCCAUUUCUCACAAAUUUUUCACUAUUCAUGAAACUGUAAAAGGUUAUUUCAGACCAAGAGAAGUAAAGACAAUUUUCUAGCAGGGCUGUUGGGCUUGAGGGUUCAGAAAUGCACCUGAGAGGUGAAAUAUCUAGUUCAAAGACUUAAAUUUAGUGUUUGCUAAAUACAAGAGAGAAUAUGUAUUACAGAAAAGGUUAAAUUGAAAAGGUUGUGAUAGAAUUUGUUUUGGAUAGGUUUCUUUAAAGAAAAUGUCUUAUAGACCCAGUUCUUAUGAGUGAAAAAUAAGAACCAAACCUCUAGUGCAUGUUUAGAUAUACUCAAUAAAUUUCAUAGCUAUUUAACUCUUUAAAAUGGGAGUGGAAGUGGAAGUUUAAUAUCUUUAUUUAAGCCAAUAUAGUAAUUUACCAAAUAUUAGGAAUAAUUACUGCUGUAUUCUCUGGCAAAUAAAUAGUUGGCCAAAAUGCAGAGUUUUAGCUCUUUUUCAUCCAUUGAAAUUACAUAGCUAGUGAAGUAACAGAACCAAUUUUUCUGAGCCAAGUAAGGCACUGCUGGUCUGUUAUGGUUUGCAAUUAUGAUUUUGAUUUAUUUGAUACAAAGUUGAUGAGUUUGAGGUUCAUUAGGAUUUCUUUUGAAUUACCUAAUCAUUUGGUGCAGACCAUUCCAGAGCCAGCAGAUUAUAUGAUAGAGUUUUGUCAUUAUUAGUCUGAGCUAUACUUGAAACAGCGUCCUAGAUCUAAAAAGUGUCCAUAUUAUAUUUCCAGUUCCCUCAAUGAAACAACUCCUGCAGGGUUCAUACUUAGCAAUAACAACAGUUAUAUUGAGCAGAAAAACUAUAAUUUUGUUUGGGUUUUUUUUGUUUGGUGGUUUUUUGCCUUUCUUAGGUAAAUUUGUUGCCACCAGCUUUCAUAUUCACAUCUUACAGACCUUUAGGUAAUAGGGCUUGGAUCAGAAAGUUGUAUUCAAAAAAAAUAACAAGUUUCUGAGGAUUAUUUUUUAACUUCAUAUUAAGGGGCUUUUGGUGACAAUAACAGAUUUUAAGGCUUAACAACAAAGCUAGAAAUUAUUUUUGUUCACAAUUAUGUUCACUACUUUCCAAUGAAGUAAUUGGAAAAAAAGUCGUAUGCUAACAUUUAUAAUGCUGCAAGGUUUGGGACUUGUAUAAGGCAAAUCUCCAUAUGUUUUCCUUCCAUAAUAAUUUACUCUAGAGGUUGUUCUUUUGUAACAUUAACUAUUUUUUUAAACUCUAAAAGUGGGCAAAGCAGCUGUAAACAGCAGAAAACCAAAUCUGUAAUCAGAUGGUUACCUUGGAAUUCAAACUACAGAAUUUAUGAGUGGAUUUUACUGUAUGAAGAGAUGAUGUGAAUGGUACCCAUGUUGCCUGUUGUGACAGCAUUUAUUUAGACUACAUGGAGAUGAAUAUUAAGAGGAACAAAGAAUGAUAUUCAUACAGUCUGACCUGUUUGAAUUUUGAGGAACAGGCACGAUUCUAACCAAGUGACCAUCCAGCCUACACUUGCAUUAAUACUUUGUAUACCAUAGAAGCUUAUCAUGUAGAAUAGUUGACAGAAUAUUUCUCAACACCAUAUAGGGGCAUCCACACUAUCGACAGAUGCCAUGGCCUUAUAUGUUAAUUCAAACUCCAUACAUAUUUAUUAAUGAAGAAUUAAUCCAAACUCCAUGUGAAACAGAAGUUCUUCUAAAAAGGAGGAAGUUGAUAUGUGACAGAACACAAUGCAAGUGUAAACUAACUUAGAGGUAUUGCAUACAUUGGGGCACUGAGAACUGAGAAUGUGAAUUUUCUAUGCUGAGCAAUAUGCAGCAUUUUACACUAGGCCUGGUUCUUUUGCUAAUUUUAAUACUUGUAUAACAAAUAUACUAUGAUUUUUAUAUUGAUUUUAUUUUGUCUUUUUUUUUCCUGUAGUUAUUUAAAUAUUCUGGUGGAUGUUUAUUAAGACCUACACUAAAAUGCUUUAAUAAAUAAUAUUAACAUCUUA